GCUGAAAAGGCGAGACAAAAAAAUAUCUGAGACCAGCCACGGUGGAAGGGACAAUCUAGCAGACAAGCAGAUGCUAACACAAGAACUAGUGCUGUCAGGUCCCAAUCUAAUGUUAUUAGAUCUGAGAGAAAAAAGUUGCCUUGUAGUGGCAUAAUCCACGAAAUCUUAAGAAGGAAUGCAAGUCAUGCUCCACUCUGAAUAUGCGCCUGGACUGAACUGUGCUGGAGUUGGAUGUGAUGCAGUUGGUUGUGCCGAAAAUGGAUUUACUGAACUUGGAUAUGCUGAAAUAUGGAUGUGCUGAUUUGCUGAACAUGGAUGUGCUAAACCUUUGGACCCUCUCAACAUCUCUGCUGAACUUAUGUUGAUGUUGUAAUGCUUUCAUUUUGUACUGAAUGGUGUUGAAUUAGAAGGGAUGACUGAACUAUGGAAGAUGUAAUUGGAAUGGUGGAUAUAUUGAAUUUUGGAGUUUGGGAACAGCUUUCUUCUGUUACUUUAAGUGAUCUUGCAUUCUUUUUAGAAACAGGUGAAAACUUUUAUUUACCUUUCCAAGGACUGAUGGUUCCUCGUAGGAG